CAGGCCCUUCAGAUCUGAGUUCCUGAAGUCCAGGGUGUUCUUCCUACUUGAACUGCUGUUUCUGUCUCUGCAGACUGUUGGCAAGGGGUUUCCACACACAUGAAGUGGUCAGGCUCUGCUCUAACCCACAAAUCCCAUGUGCCCAUUGGAGUGCAGUUCAAAGCCAUUUCUUUCUUCCUCUAAUCUCACUCCACACACGUCCUAUUCACAAACGGUAGUUUGAUUACAUCAACGUCAGCUCUAGAAUUUACAACUAAAACCGCUAGUUACUAACUGCCUACCAUAGACGCAGGCAGCGUGUGGGGAUGUCGUCGGCCAGAUGUGUGAACUCGGUAUUCAGUAGGACUAGUCCCUCAUUCUCAGCGCACAUGAAUCCAGCCCCACACCGCAAGGUUUGGAGGGUAUGGGAGUCCGUGCUUCACGCUGUGAUUAGCAGACUCCCAGUCUAAUAAAGACGCAGGCAGCCGCAUAAUGAGAAAUCUGGCACAGCUGACCAGAAUGAAGUGCAGUACUACAGGCUCCAGGAGCUGGGCAAGCUAUGUCAUUAGACAUUUUCUGAAAGAGAAGAUGCCUAAAGGAAAGAAUACAUUCGUCGGGGCGGGGGGUGGGGGUGGGGGCGGGAAUCAGUCUUGAUGAGAAGAGGGAGCUUCAGUCGGGGCAGAGAGAUGGAGGCACGUGAGCGGAGGAGCUGUGCCUAGCCGGCGACUCAUAGAUUGUGCAAUACCCAUGAGCACACGUCUGCGGAGUGAGAAGGCUGACAAUAAGAUAUGAAUUCCUUUCAUAAUCUGAUAGGAUCUGGCAGAUUGUAUGGACAGACCAAAAGAAGACUGUAUUCCUCACAGUUCAGGGAAGAAGAUAUAAUUGCUAAUAUUGCCAAUUGAUACUAAUACUAGUAUCAAUCGGAUGUAAUAAUUGAUAAUGAAAUAUAGUCAACUAAGUACUAAAUUAUUAAAAUUAAUCUACUUAUAUCAGUAUAUAAGCAUACGUGCAUAUACAUGCCUCUAUACAUAUUUAAUGCGAUUGUGCAUUGCUGUGACAUGAGUGUAGGUGCUAUAUCUAAAAUUUCGCAGAACCCUUGACUUGUUUCUGUAUUAUUCAUUGGAAGGAGCGUCAUUCAGAAGCUAUGCUCUAGAGGUGAAACUGUUUCAGAAAUAUCAAUAAUGUGAGGCUCAAUUAUUCAUCCACUAAUUAAUUAUUUAAAGAUGUUAUAUAUAAUAUACACAGUGCACAACCUUAAGCUUACAGCUUUGUCAGUUUUAGUAGUUAUGUGGCCCAGAAAACUACCAUUAGAGAAGAAUACAUUGUAUUUCCCAUCUCCUAAAAAGCUUCAGUUUGGCUUCCUUUCCUGUCUGCUUAUGCUAUUAUUGCUACCACAUUCUGAUUUUUUUUUUUAGCCAUAUAGAUUAAUUUAGUCUGUUCUCAGAUGCAGUGUAAAUGGAAUAGUCAUUUGUAUUAUUUUCUACCUGGCUUUUGAAUAUUUUCCAAUCCAUCCCUGAGUGGUAAGUAGUCACAGCUAUCCUAAUUCUCCCUUUAGUCAUUGAGCUGCACAGCGCACGCAGUUUGCUUAUCCUGUCUCCUAUUGAUCGGGAUGCUUCCAGCUUGUAGUUAUUCUGAACGUCGAGACUGUGUGCAUUCUUCACAGACCUGGGUACAUUUCUUAGUGUGGAAUAUUAAGCCAAGAUCCAGAUGUAGAACUCACAGCUCCUUCUC